AUGCUGGAUGGAACACCAGUUGCUGUAGACGGGCUGCACACGCAUCACAUCGGUCGUCCAACUCCAGUGUACGGCACAAGGCACAUGGGCGCCUGUCCUUGUGGAGCACGGCCAUUACAGGCUCAUGCUGAAACUAAGUUUCUGUUUGCACGCAGAAGGGAGAAAACGACACUUCCUGAAGUCGCAUUGGAUCUAUCACCAAUAAUAGUGUCAGGAACAGCACUGCUGCAGCAGCAACAUCAAAAACGAUACCAUUGGACAUUAAAAGCUUCAAUGCAGGGCACACUCACUCAUACCGAUGAUAAUUAA
rnacentral:rRNA from 1 species